rnacentral:rRNA from 1 species
GACGAACGCUGGCGGCGUGCCUAAUACAUGCAAGUAGAACGCUGAAGGAGGAGCUUGCUCUUCUGGAUGAGUUGCGAACGGGUGAGUAACGCGUAGGUAACCUGCCUGGUAGCGGGGGAUAACUAUUGGAAACGAUAGCUAAUACCGCAUAAAAUUGAUUAUUGCAUGAUAGUCAAUUAAAAGGUGCAAUUGCAUCACUACCAGAUGGACCUGCGUUGUAUUAGCUAGUUGGUGAGGUAACGGCUCACCAAGGCAACGAUACAUAGCCGACCUGAGAGGGUGAUCGGCCACACUGGGACUGAGACACGGCCCAGACUCCUACGGGAGGCAGCAGUAGGGAAUCUUCGGCAAUGGACGGAAGUCUGACCGAGCAACGCCGCGUGAGUGAAGAAGGUGUUCGGAUCGUAAAGCUCUGUUGUAAGAGAAGAACGAGUGUGAGAGUGGAAAGUUCACACUGUGACGGUAUCUUACCAGAAAGGGACGGCUAACUACGU